rnacentral:rRNA from 1 species
GACGAACGCUGGCGGCGUGCUUAACACAUGCAAGUCGAACGGAAAGGCCCUGCUUUUGUGGGGUGCUCGAGUGGCUAACGGGUGAGUAACACGUGAGUAACCUGCCCUUGACUUUGGGAUAACUUCAGGAAACUGGGGCUAAUACCGGAUAGGAGCUCCUGCUGCAUGUUGGGGGUUGGAAAGUUUCGGCGGUUGGGGAUGGACUCGCGGCUUAUCAGCUUGUUGGUGGGGUAGUGGCUUACCAAGGCUUUGACGGGUAGCCGGCCUGAGAGGGUGACCGGCCACAUUGGGACUGAGAUACGGCGCAGACUCCUACGGGAGGAAGCAGUGGGGAAUAUUGCACAAUGGGCGGAAGCCUGAUGCAGCAACGCCGCGUGCGGGAUGACGGCCUUCGGGUUGUAAACCGCGUUCGCCUGUGACGAAGCGUGAGUGAAGGUAAUGGGUAAAGAAGCACCGGCUAACUAAGUG